rnacentral:rRNA from 1 species
GACGAACGCUGGCGGCGUGCCUAAUACAUGCAAGUCGAGCGCAGGAAGCUGACGGAGCUCUUCGGAGGGAAGGCAGUGGAAUGAGCGGCGGACGGGUGAGUAACACGUAAGGAACCUGCCUCAAGGAUUGGGAUAAUUCCGAGAAAUCGGAGCUAAUACCGGAUAGUUCAACGGACCGCAUGGUCCGCUGAUGAAAGGCGCUCCGGCGUCACCUUGAGAUGGCCUUGCGGUGCAUUAGCUAGUUGGUGGGGUAAUGGCCCACCAAGGCGACGAUGCAUAGCCGACCUGAGAGGGUGAUCGGCCACACUGGGACUGAGACACGGCCCAGACUCCUACGGGAGGUAGCAGUAGGGAAUCUUCCACAAGGGACGAAAGUCUGAUGGAGCGACGCCGCGUGAGUGAUGAAGGCUUUCGGGUCGUAAAACUCUGUUGUUAGGGAAGAACAAGUGCUAGUUGAAUAAGCUGGCACCUUGACGGUACCUAACCAGAAAGCCACGGCUAACUACGUGCCAGCCGCCGCCGUAAGAC